AUCCCCCCCGCCAACUGCGGACACACACUGCGCCUGCGCCUGCGCCCUGCCGCGCCCACACACCAGGCCACCCCGUCCCCGGCGCGGUGCGUGCGCAGGCGCAGAGCUCUAGCGGCGGCCGCGCGGUCCAAUGCGGUGAAGUGGAGUGCUCGGCGGAUAGACAAAAGGAGGGGAAGGAGCGGGGCGGGGCAAAGGGCGGGGAAAGAGCGAGGGCGGGCGGGUGUGCUCCGUUCGGCCCGGGAAUCCGAUUGGUUAUCGAUUCCCGCGGAAAUCACCCCGGUGCCUCUCGCGCCCCCUGGCCGGCCUAUGGCGAUAACUUCACGGAGACGGGCGUGGCUGGAGUUUUGCUUUAUUGAAGUUGAACGGUUGGGGCCAGGCUGCGAAGGAGACUGAGAGCGCGACAAGGCCUUGGACAGAUGCCCGCGCGGGGAAGGAAGGCUGGCUUAGGAAGGGGCGUCAGCUAUGGUUUAGCAGCUUCCAGCGGCCGAAACCUACAUCAUAGCCGCAGCACACAAUUCCAGGAAACCUGGUGCUCAAUAUUGGGAUCUCAGGAAUCAGGACCGGCGGCUGGGGUGAAAGCCUAGCGGUCAGAGCGCAGGAGUGAGGCAGAAGCUGUUAGAGACUCUUCGCAAGUGGCCCCGGGGCUACAUAUGGAUGAUUCAAGAGGGAGUCUCCUUGCCAGAAAGCUCACGUUUCACUCCUUCUGGCCUUCAUACCAACCCAUUGUUAAAACUGGAAGUCCCUCCACCUGGGGCCACUGACUCCACUGUUUUCAGAUAGGAUGGGGACCCUGCACUGGAGACUGCUCUCUACCCCCUGGGCAGGAGAGGCACAGACACUGCUACGCACGCGGAGCAGAGAUCACCAGAGCUUUGACUGACUUUGCUCGUCCAGGAGGCUGGGGACAUGCGUGCCCAUGCUCAGCCCACCCCCUCUGUAGAAACAAUUGGUCGCCCAUUCUGUUUAUAGGAAGUCUUCCAUCCUGCACCAGCAGCUGUCCCUAGACAGGGAUUGGGAGACAUGCAAGUGGCUUGGCUUCCUAUUACCUUGUGUUGAAAACACAAUAGGCUUUGGGAUCAGGAGUUCAUUCCAGUUAUUUUAAUGUUAUUUACUAGCAGUGUGCCCUCGUGCACAUUAUCAAACUCCUCUGACUCUUGGAAUCCUCAUUUUUCAAUAAUAACUCACAAAGCUGUCAAGCCUAAGGGAUCUAACAGCUCGAACAGCACCUGGAACAGAAGCAAUAGCCGCCACUCAGAGGUUACUUUUUCCUUCUCCACCUUCUCUGGAUCACCUCCCUACCUCAUCCUCAAUCUAACGCUGGAAAUAUUGGAUAUGGGGUAGGUCACCAAAUGUUGCCAGAAGACUCAAAUUAUGCCACCCAUAUCUCAGCUGGGAAGGGCUUACCGUGGCCUGACUCUCCUCGGGGUCCAAGUCCCCAUUUAUGAUGUCCAGGCAGAAACAUAGUUUGUGACACAUAGUAGGCGCUGGAAAAUGUUAGUCAAAUGAAAGAGGUCUGGUGUGGAGAGAAGAGAAAUCUUGGGAGAGUCAUUUAAGGGGGUGCCCAGUUGUCUUCAUAAAAAACACUGUCAUCAUCAGGGUGACCAAGGCAGACAUCAUAGGCAGGGGGUGGAGUCAGAGGCUCUAAUCUGGGGACUGCUCCCAAGCUCCGCAGAUCAGGAGCAGUGGACACAGCCCGUGGUCCCCGAAGCCGAAGGUUGAUUGGAGCUCUUCCAGGGCUUCCUUCCUGGGCCAUAGACCCCUCUGAGGCCAUUCGCCUCUGUUCCAGUUCGGCUCUCCUGGACCCCUCUGGAUGGCUAGGUUGUUCCUCCUCAGGUGCUGGGGGUAUCACAACAGUGCUGUAGGGGGGUGGUUGGUCCAACUCUUGGGGGCGGCACUGGGAUUCUAGUCCCACCACGGCCUCUUCAUAGACUGGCACUUCAAAGGCUUCAUUGUCCCUGACGGAAGAGAAAUAAGGCCAUUGGUGGCUUCCAUGAAAGAAGCCCUUUUUCCCUUUUUUGUCUGCUAUGGGCAAAAGAUCCUCUGUUGGCCUCUGACCCCUCCUCCUGCUGAUGCCAAUGACAGGAAACCAGAGACUCUAUGCCUCAGAGACUACAGGGAGAGAGGGAGGAUGGGCCUAAGGUGUAUUUCUCUUAUGAUGCCCACCCUUAACUCACCGUGCAUUGCCUGAGGGCCCUGAGAUCUCAGUCUGCAUUGAUUGGAGCUGGGACCGAAGCCCCCAUUCCAGAAACCGGACCAGGAGAUAGGCAAACAAGAAGAAGCCACCCAAUGUGAGAAAGAAAUAAGCAACAGGGGUGAUGUCCGUCUUUAUGCCCAGCAAAGCCAGCCCCAGUAGGAAGGAGGCGCAGCACAGGAGGAGAAGCGGCUUCUCCAGUCUCCCCAGUUCUUCAAUCUCAAAUCAAAUAAAUAAUCUGUACAGUCCCCUCCAGCUCCGAAAUUCUCUUUAUGUCUUGGAGUGUGUGGAAUAGCCAGGAAACCAGCCCAGGAGCUUUGACUCCCAGCCAUUCUGCACCGUAAGCAAAAAGGAAGUUAGCCACACAUGGUGGCUCAUAACUAUAGUCUCGGCUACGUGGGAGGCAAGGGGAGAGGAUCUCUUGAGCCCAGGAGUUCGAGGCCAGCCUAGGCAAUGUAAUGGAGUCUUGCUCUGUCAGCAGGCUGGAGUGAAGUGGCGCAAUCUCGGCUCACUGCAACCUCUGCUUCGUGGGUUCAAGUGAUUCUCCUGCCUCAGCCUCCUGAGUAGGUGGUACUACAGGCACCCACCACCACUCCCAGCUAAUUUUUUGCAUUUUUUUUUUUUUUUUUUUAGUAGAGACAGGGUUUCACCAUAUUGGCCAGGAUGGUCUCAAUCUCUUGACCUCAUGAUCCACCCUCCUCGGCCUCCCAAAGUGCUGGGAUUACAGGAGUGAGCCACCACACCCGGCCCAUUUUGUAAUAUUUAUUUAUUUAUUUACUUACUUAUUGCCAUUGAGUUGUAGGGGUUUCUUAUAUUUUUCGGAUAUUAAACCCUUAUCAGAUAUAUGAUUUGCAACUAUUUUCUCCUAUCCCACAGGUCGCCUUUCAGUUCUGUUGACUAUUUCCUUUGCUGCUCAGAAAUUUAUAGUUUGAUAAAAAUUCUCAACAAACUGGGUAUAGGAGGAUUUUUUCUCAACAUAAUGAAGUUCAUGUAUGACAAACCUGCAGCUAGUAUUAUAUGCAGCAGUGAAAGACAGAAAGCUUUUCCUCUAAGAUCAGGAACAAGAUAAAGAUGCCCCGUCUCAUCACUUCCAUUCAACGUAGUGCUUGAUAUAGUUUGGAUUUGUGUCCCCACCCGAAUCUAAUGUUGAAUUAGAGGAGGGACCUGGUGCGAGGUGAAUGGACCAUGGGUAGGGAUUUCCCCCUUGCUGUUCUCCUGAUAGUGAAUGAGUUCUCACGAGAUCUGAUGGCUUAAAAGCAUGUAGCACUUCUCCCCUAGCUCUCUCCUGCCACCAUGUGAAGAAGGUCCUUGCUUCCCCUUCACCUUCUGCCAUGAUUGUAAGUUUCCUGAGAUCCCCCAAGUCAUGCUUCCUGUAAAGUCUGCAGAACAGUGAGUCAAUCAAACCUAUUUUCUUCAUGAAUUACCCAGUCUCAGAUAGUUCUUUAUAGCAAUGUGAAAAUGGAUUAAUACAGUACUGGAAGUUCUAACAAGGUCAAUUAGGCAAGAAAAAGAAAUACAAGGCAUGUAAAUCAAAUCACAAGGCAUUCAAAUGAAAUCAGAAAGGAAGAAGUAAAAGUAUAUUUGCUCAUAGAUGAUGUGAUACUGUGUGUAGAAAAUCCCAAAGACACUUCCAAAAAACUUAGAAUGAAUAAACAAAUUCAUUAAAGUUACAGCAUACAAAAUUCACAUAUGAAAAUUUGUUGAGUUUCUAUAUACUAACAAUGAACCAUCUGAAAAGGAAAUUAAGAAAAAAUUCUGUUUACAGAAGCAUAAAGGAGAAUAAAAUAGAAAUAAACCAAACCAAGAAGGUAAAGGACAUACACACACACCAAAACAUUGAUGAAUAAAACUAAAGAAGACACAAAUAAAUGGAAAAACAUCCUGCGUUCAUGGAUUGGAAGACUUAGUGUUGUUAAAAUAUCCAUACUAUCCAAAGCAAUAUAUGGAUUCAAGCUAUCCCCAUUCAAUCACAAUGGCAUUUUU